rnacentral:rRNA from 1 species
CCUACGGGAGGCUGCAGUGAGGAAUAUUGGUCAAUGGGAGAGAUCCUGAACCAGCCAAGCCGCGUGAGGGAAGACGGCCCUAUGGGUUGUAAACCUCUUUUGUCGGAGAACAAAACCCGGGACGUGUCCCGGACUGCGUGUAUCCGAAGAAAAAGCAUCGGCUAACUCCGUGCCAGCAGCCGCGGUAAUACGGAGGAUGCGAGCGUUAUCCGGAUUUAUUGGGUUUAAAGGGUGCGUAGGCGGUCCGUUAAGUCAGCGGUAAAAUUGCGGGGCUCAACCCCGUCGAGCCGUUGAAACUGUCAGACUUGAGUUGGCGAGAAGUACGCGGAAUGCGCGGUGUAGCGGUGAAAUGCAUAGAUAUCGCGCAGAACUCCGAUUGCGAAGGCAGCGUACCGGCGCCACACUGACGCUGAGGCACGAAAGCGUGGGGAUCGAACAGGAUUAGAUACCCGGGUAGUC